rnacentral:rRNA from 1 species
ACUGCUCAGUAACACGUGGAUAACCUGCCCUUGGGUCCGGCAUAACCCCGGGAAACUGGGGAUAAUUCCGGAUAACGCAUAUGUGCUGGAAUGCUUUAUGCGUCAAAUGGAUUCGUCUGCCCAAGGAUGGGUCUGCGGCCUAUCAGGUAGUAGUGGGUGUAAUGUACCUACUAGCCGACAACGGGUACGGGUUGUGAGAGCAAGAGCCCGGAGAUGGAUUCUGAGACAUGAAUCCAGGCCCUACGGGGCGCAGCAGGCGCGAAAACUUUACAAUGCGGGAAACCGUGAUAAGGGGACACCGAGUGUCAGCAUCAUAUGCUGGCUGUCCAGGUGUGUAAAAUACACCUGUUAGCAAGGGCCGGGCAAGACCGGUGCCAGCCGCCGCGGUAACACCGGCGGCCCGAGUGGUGAUCGUGAUUAUUGGGUCUAAAGGGUCCGUAGCCGGUUUGGUCAGCCCUCCGGGAAAUCUGAUAGCUCAACUAUUAGGCUAUCGGGGGAUACUACCAGACUUGGAACCGGGAGAGGUAAGAGGUACUACAGGGGUAGGAGUGAAAUCUUGUAAUCCCUGUGGGACCACCUGUGGCGAAGGCGUCUUACCAGAACGGGUUCGACGGUGAGGGACGAAAGCUGGGGGCACGAACCGGAUUAGAUACCCGGGUAGUCCCAGCCGUAAACGAUGCUCGCUAGGUGUCAGGCAUGGCGCGACCGUGUCUGGUGCCGCAGGGAAGCCGUGAAGCGAGCCACCUGGGAAGUACGGCCGCAAGGCUGAAACUUAAAGGAAUUGGCGGGGGAGCAC